ensembl:lncRNA
UGCAUGUAUACAAAUCAUUUCCAUGUUCAUGACUUUUACAGGCCCAUCUUGAGGGUAGCAAAUCUAGUAUGGUUUCCUUUUGAGAAUAUAUGAAGACAUGGAUUUUUGCAUCAAUAUGUACAGAGGUUUAUUUGUGAUUUUUCAAAACAUUAUAUACUACAUACAAUGCACAUAAAUCAAUGUACAAUGGAUCAACUUCAGAAGAAUAAGAGAAACACAAAAACAGCCGGCGAUUGAACAAAGACAAUGGUUUUACUAUCAACUAGAGCAUUGAUAUCAUUAACAAACACCAAGAUCGUUGAAAGACCGUGUGAAGCAUUGAGUCAUGAGAAUGACAUGGUGUGCAUGUAUAAAAAAUGACUUAUCUUGGGACUUUGAUAUUAAUUACAAUGAUUGAUUACUAAAUGAGAAAUGGUCUGGCCACCAGAAGUCGUCAACAAAAAUGUCCAACAAAGUACACCAGUGUAUGUUAUGUUUUUGGACCAGUCACAAGAUCAACUGAUGCUUCAUCAUCAACUAAAUACAAUAAUAUUGACCUAAGAAAAUGUAUCAAGGAGAGCAGUGGGGAUUAAAAACCAACAUACAGAAAACUCAGACACACACUCCUUGCUAACAACUAUGUACUGUCCUCCAACAGGAAUAAAGCAGUCCAGGUUCAUAACAGCUCACACCUCCUUCCAUUCCAGUAAUACUUCCCGACAUGCACAUUGUAGUCAUUUAGCAGAUGCUCUUAUCUAGAGCGACUUACAGGAGAAAUUAGGGUUAAGUGCCUUGCUCAAGGGCACAGACAGAUGUUUCACCUAGUCAGCUCUGGGAUUCGAACCAGUGACCUUUCAGUUACUUGCCCAACACUCUUAAUCGCUAGGCUACAUCCGUUAGGCAGGAGAAAACAUAGGCCCUAAUAACAACUACAUUAGCAUAGCACGGCCCUGAAUAUAAUAACUAACCUAAUAAUAACUACAUUAGCAUAGCACGGCCCUGAAUAUAAUAACUAACCUAAUAAUAACUACAUUAGCAUAGCACGGCCCUGAAUAUAAUAACUAACCUAAUAACAACUACAUUAGCAUAGCACGGCCCUGAAUAUAAUAACUAACCUAAUAAUAACUACAUUAGCAUAGCACGGCCCUGAAUAUAAUAACUAACCUAAUAACAACUACAUUAGCAUAGCACGGCCCUGAAUAUAAUAAC